rnacentral:rRNA from 1 species
GAUGAACGCUGGCGGCGUGCCUAAUACUUGCCAGUCGAGCGAACAGACGAGGAGCUUGCUCCUCUGACGUUAGCGGCGGACGGGUGAGUAACACGUGGAUAACCUACCUAUAAGACUGGGAUAACUUCGGGAAACCGGAGCUAAUACCGGAUAAUAUAUUGAACCGCAUGGUUCAAUAGUGAAAGACGGUUUUGCUGUCACUUAUAGAUGGAUCCGCGCCGCAUUAGCUAGUUGGUAAGGUAACGGCUUACCAAGGCAACGAUGCGUAGCCGACCUGAGAGGGUGAUCGGCCACACUGGAACUGAGACACGGUCCAGACUCCUACGGGAGGCAGCAGUAGGGAAUCUUCCGCAAUGGGCGAAAGCCUGACGGAGCAACGCCGCGUGAGUGAUGAAGGUCUUCGGAUCGUAAAACUCUGUUAUUAGGGAAGAACAAAUGUGUAAGUAACUAUGCACGUCUUGACGGUACCUAAUCAGAAAGCCACGGCUAACUACGUG